UGACAGCAAGACACCCAAUCCGGCCUGGCUCCAGAUAAAGCAUUGGCGUGGUAACCUGCUCACUUGGCGGUUUAGGGUCCUGUUUCCUUUUUAGUCUGUAGUAUUUUGUCCGUGAACGUUAUAGGACACAAGUCACUUGGAGGCCAGCUUCCUUGGCAGCCUGCCUGUAGUCGUGCUGUCCAAAUAGGUGAUGUCCUUGUCCUUGAUGAGCCCCACAGCUAGGUCUGCAAGGCUUACUUAGCCUGGCAUCUCUCAAACCAUCUUCUGGCCCCAGCUCCUCGAGGUCUUUGUCGUCUCAAUAGAAAAAAGAUGUCAGAGAGAGAACAGCCAGAGGCAUCUGGAAGAGUCCAGAGCAGAGAAAGAAAGAACAUGGUCAGCAGACUGGACAUGGCCUGGUGAGAGAAAACAUAGUGAGAGCAGUAGGGUUUUCAGACAACAAACGGGUGGUGGGGGCUGGGAGCCUGUGAGCUGGAGGGAGUCGAGGUGGUGAGGGGAGCUAAGGUGGCUAGGAAGAGUGAGAAGGUUAGGGUGGACUCUGAAACGUGUAGCAGGUGCUUGUGAUACGGAGGGCGCCUGGAGGACAGCACGAGCUUUUUUAAAUUUUAUUUUAAUUUAUAUUUCUUAUUUAACUAAUAACAUUUAUUUUAAAAUAUGCAACUCAUUAUUGACAUUUAAGCCAUCAGAAUAAUAUAUAAUAGUUAAAUGCUUCUUAAAUAUACAUGAUAUCUUCUGAAGCUAAAAAUAAUAUGCACUCGACCAGUUUUUAAAAUCUAUGUGGAACAUUAAACAUGAUAGGAGUAGAAAAAACAAAAAAGAAUCUCUUGGGUUGGAGAUGAAAGGAUGAGAAAUACAGCCUAACUCUCGAAUGACCCCAAGAAGUCAGAAGUUUAAAAAUGCUAUCUCACGCCAAAGGAGCCCUAACUCCAGCCUCCUAAGAAGUCCUAAAUUCUUCAAAUUCCAGACCCUGCUCUCUGCCGGUAAAUAGGUAAAAGGUCACAUUUCUUGUUGUUCCAGAGCCUGCUCUCUGUAUGGAACUAGAUGAAAUGGCGUAAGGCAGGCCCUUGAGUAUGUGAUCCUGGCCUAGUAAGAUAACAGGACGUGAGCUGACUAACCGCUUAUCUGGCUUCUGUAAACUGCUUGCUCUGUGGAAGGAAAGCCCUUGUGACCUAUCUUAACUACAAUCUGUCACCCCCGACCCAGGAAGGAGCCCACGCAAAUGCGGACCUCCGAGA